CGAUAGUUCAUUACCAAAAUAUUAAUACUUGUGCGUAGACAAAACAAGAUUUAAAAAUUUAUUGGCAAAUGCUGGUACUGUUUUCAUAAAGAAAUCCGGCAUGGCAUAUUGGGCUGCCUCAUUGUCAAAGUUCUCUUGAUAAUACCCACAGAGGAAAGAUAGGCUGAGUCAGACCAAUAUAUAUUUUUCUCUAAUUCAUAAAUGUGGUUUAAUAAUAUGUUCUCAUGUGUGGCAAGUUUUUCGAUGAACAGCUUUCGAUGACCUAAUGCAUAUGUGCACAGAGGCAGCACUCCUGCAGAAUUAUAAAGACGGUGUUAGAAAAUUUCCUAGUACGGUUUUUAAGUGUUUAUUGACACUCUUUCGCAACACUUUUCGCUCAAAAAUUUCAAGCUCUUUGGCCAAAGUUGGUGACAUCGUGAACCAUAAUGGAAAGCCGUAAACCAACACUUUAUAUAGAAGUAGGAUUGUUUGUUGCGGGAGAUAUUUGCUGUUGGAUAGAUAAGAAAAUGCUCCAGCUAUUCUUUUGGCUUUCUGAAGGGUAGAUCUUACGUGUUUAUUAAAUUUCAACAUCUUAUAUGAUGCCCAGGUACCACCGACCUAGGACAUUUCACUAAGGCAUUCCGAAUGCAUAUAGCCUCAGAUUUCGACGAGUUGAUGUUGAUUCCCCAUGUCUUAUAAAAGUUAUGAAUGGCUUCAAGAUGUACUA